rnacentral:piRNA from 1 species
UGUCAUUUCAGGAACGAGGCUAUGUGACUC